rnacentral:lncRNA from 1 species
GAGGGAACUGCCAGAAGGCCCUCGGCGCUGGAUCUCAGUGCCUGGGCUGGAUGAUGGGGGUGGAGACGUUCCUUCAGGUAUACAGGACCAUGAACUACAGACAGUUGCCACGGAUGAUAGGAGCUGUUUUCCAACAACAUCUGGACAGUGCUAGUUUGGGGAAGGCCACACAGUUCCUGGAAACGCCAGGAACUGAACAUACAGAAAGUGUGCAUGUUUUCAGCUAUCCCACCCUCUUCAUCCCACUGCAAGGACACUCUCUGAAGAUGCAAAAUGCUCCCCUCCCUCUAUAUUUCUGUAUGCUGUGGUAUUUAUUCUUAGACAACUCCCCCUAAUCUUGGACAGCUCCUGGCCGCUCCAAGCAGCUGGAUUUUUUUUUUUACCACAACCAGAGCGGGAGGCUGAAGGAAAUGGUUUUGUUGUUUUGAACCUCGACUGACUGUAGAACGAAAAAGAAGUUUUGAGUUUUCGCAGCUGCCUGGUGAGAAGCAGCCCAAGCGGCAAGAGAGCACCGUUCCUUCUGAAGGAUGAAGGCUGUUUUUCAAGAUUCAUUCUACCACCUGUGUGCCUGCUUCUUCCGAUGUGUCUCAGUUUGAAGGUGGUAAAUAAACCCGUAUUACAAACUCCCAGAAAUCUUGAGCAUUCUCCCCUUCAAAGGAAAUGCUGUACCCAAGAGAGGCUGUACCCAGAACUUAGGAAAUGAGCCUCUUUCAUUUCUGCAGUUUUAAAUUAUUGGUGGGUUUUUUGGUUUGUUGCAUGGGAGUAGCCAGGAUUUCUGUUAGGGGGCUGACUUCUGAAGGAGUGUCUCCAUCCCCAUCAUUCUGCCCGGACACUGAGGUCCAGCACUGAGGGCCUUCUGGUGGUUCCCUCACUGCGAGAAGCCAAGUUACAGGGAACCAGGCAGAGGGCCUUCUAGGUAGUGGCACCUGCCCUGUGCAACGCCCUCCCACCAGAUGUGAAAGAGAAAAACAACUACCAGACUUUUAGACGACAUCUGAAGGAAGCCCUGUUUAGGGAAGCUUUUAAUGUUUGAUGCAUUACUGUAUUUUAAUAUUUUGUUGGAAGCCGCUCAGAGUGGCUGGGGAAGCCCAGCCAGAUGUGCGGGGUAUAAAUAAAUUAUUAUUAUUAUUAUUACUAUUAGGGACAGGUUGUGUGUAUGUGAGAGAGACAGAACCUCAGUUAGUUAAGUAUUUUUAUUGAUUUACUUGAUGUUGGGGGGGAGUUGCCCCCCUACCCCUACCCCUGAUUGGCUACACCCAUGGUCUAUUGUACUGUCUUUUGUAUUUUUACAUUUUGUUCGCAGGUAGUGUUGGCUUUUAUUGGCAGUUGUAAGGUGCUUUGUGGCAGAAUCUGCACCUCGGAACUGCCUGCCUAUUGACAUCAGGCAGGUGCCUUCACUGUAUGCUCUCUGUUGUUGUUGUUUAGUCGUUUAGUCAUGUCCGACUCUUCGUGACCCCAUGGACCACAGCACGCCAGGCACUCCUGUCUUCCACUGCCUCCCGCAGUUUGGUCAAACUCAUGCUGGUAGCUUCGGGAACACUGUCCAAUCAUCUCGUCCUCUGUCAUCCCCUUCUCCUUGUGCCCUCCAUCUUUCCCAACAUCAGGGUCUUUUCCAGGGAGUCUUCUCUUCUCAUGAGGUGGCCAAAGUAUUGGAGUCUCAGCUUCAGGAUCUGUCCUUCCAGUGAGCACUCAGGGCUGAUUUCCUUCAGAACGGAGAGGUUUGAUCUUCUUGCAGUCCAUGGGACUCUCAAGAGUCUCCUCCAGCACCAUAAUUCAAAAGCAUCAAUUCUUCUGCGAUCAGCCUUCUUUAUGGUCCAGCUCUCACUUCCAUACAUCACUACUGGGAAAACCAUAGCUUUUACUAUACGGACCUACAGCUGACAAAAACAUUUUGUUUAGGCGAGCAUAUAGAAGAAUGAUGAAAUGGAUAUUAAUGAAGAGAGGAUGUGGUUAUAGAGGAAAAGAUGGACAUAUGUUUGCAACGGGAGUGGGAAACCUGUUUGUUUUUUUUUUAAAAAAAGAAAUUGUAUUAAAUUAAAUAAUUUGAUUCGAUUCGUAAAAAUUUGGGGAAACUAAUAAAAAUAAUUGGGGGGGAUUAGAAUGCUGCCAUAUU